rnacentral:rRNA from 1 species
GAUGAACGCUGGCGGCGUGCCUAAUACAUGCAAGUCGAGCGAACGGACGAGAAGCUUGCUUCUCUGAUGUUAGCGGCGGACGGGUGAGUAACACGUGGAUAACCUACCUAUAAGACUGGGAUAACUUCGGGAAACCGGAGCUAAUACCGGAUAAUAUUUUGAACCGCAUGGUUCAAAAGUGAAAGGCGGUCUUGCUGUCACUUAUAGAUGGAUCCGCGCUGCAUUAGCUAGUUGGUAAGGUAACGGCUUACCAAGGCAACGAUGCAUAGCCGACCUGAGAGGGUGAUCGGCCACACUGGAACUGAGACACGGUCCAGACUCCUACGGGAGGCAGCAGUAGGGAAUCGUCCGCAAUGGGCGAAAGCCUGACGGAGCAACGCCGCGUGAGUGAUGAAGGUCUUCGGAUCGUAAAACUCUGUUAUUAGGGAAGAACAUAUGUGUAAGUAACUGUGCACAUCUUGACGGUACCUAAUCAGAAAGCCACGGCUAACUACGUG